rnacentral:rRNA from 1 species
UGCCUUACACAUGCAAGUCGAACGGCAGCACGGACUUCGGUCUGGUGGCGAGUGGCGAACGGGUGAGUAAUAUAUCGGAACAUACCUUGUAGUGGGGGAUAACUAUCCGAAAGGAUAGCUAAUACCGCAUACGCUCUAAGGAGGAAAGUGGGGGAUCUUCGGACCUCAUGCUAUAAGAGUGGCCGAUAUCUGAUUAGCUAGUUGGUGAGGUAAAGGCUCACCAAGGCGACGAUCAGUAGCUGGUCUGAGAGGACGACCAGCCACACUGGAACUGAGACACGGUCCAGACUCCUACGGGAGGCAGCAGUGGGGAAUUUUGGACAAUGGGGGCAACCCUGAUCCAGCCAUGCCGCGUGUGUGAAGAAGGCCUUCGGGUUGUAAAGCGC